rnacentral:rRNA from 1 species
GACGAACGCUGGCGGCGUGCCUAAUACAUGCAAGUCGAGCGAAUGGAUUAAGAGCCUGCUCUUAUGAAGUUAGCGGCGGACGGGUGAGUAACACGUGGGUAACCUGCCCAUAAGACUGGGAUAACUCCGGGAAACCGGGGCUAAUACCGGAUAACAUUUUGAACCGCAUGGUUCGAAAUUGAAAGGCGGCUUCGGCUGUCACUUAUGGAUGGACCCGCGUCGCAUUAGCUAGUUGGUGAGGUAACGGCUCACCAAGGCAACGAUGCGUAGCCGACCUGGUAGGGUGAUCGGCCACACUGGGACUGAGACACGGCCCAGACUCCUACGGGAGGCAGCAGUAGGGAAUCUUCCGCAAUGGACGAAAGUCUGACGGAGCAACGCCGCGUGAGUGAUGAAGGCUUUCGUGUCGUAAAACUCUGUUGUUAGGGAAGAACAAGUGCUAGUUGAAUAAGCUGGCACCUUGACGGUACCUAACCAGAAAGCCACGGCUAACUACGUGCCAGCCGCCGCGGUAA